UGAUCCGGGUUGCAGAUCCGGCCACUGUGGGCCCCGCGGAAAGGGCCAUCCGUGGCCCCAAAAGGCCCGAGACGUAGACCAAUUGACCUCAAAGAACAAAAAGUUCAUUCUGGAGAGAUCCAGGCAAGAGGAAGUGAUUAUAGCAGCUGACAGCGAAAGAACGCUUUCCAGUCAUGGGGUCCUCAGGUCUCUCCAAGGCGAUCGGAGGAAUCCAGGACCUGUGUGGUCCCCUUCACAGGUUGUGAUGAAAGGACGAUGAAAGAUGAAGUCAGCCUGUGUGGCGAGUGCCCUGUGCUGUGCCCGAUGUUCUAAAACAUCUGAUGUCAUCCAGGACACUCCCAGCUCACCUAGGCUCCUGCUUACUCAGACACUGGAAAGUUUUCUGAGGGACACAGCUGAGCCCAGCCAUCCCCGCCCACUGCAAUAAUCCACCAAGAAUGCUGAUGACCAGAAGAUGGAGUGAGUGGACAGCUCAGGUCCGGGCUCCGGGGGAAGGGUCACACAAUGGCCUGAGGUCAAGGCUGCUCGGACACAGCUUCAUGGAGCGAAGGCAUCACUGCACCGAUGGAACUGCUUGGAAAAUCCUUCCUGGUAACUGUAUCGGAUCAUUUUGCCAAACAGCUGCCCAUCCAGCACACAGGGGCCGCGGCUCUGUUUCUCUUGGCCCACUUCGGGGCAGGAGAGGCAUGUACAGGGGACUGGAGGACAUGACACCCUCCCCCCUGGCCUCUAGCACCUGUGGCCUGCCCCUGGAGCAGAGCCUGGGAGAGGAUUUGCGGGAUUCUGCCAGCACCAGCAAGGCUCCUGGAAGCCCUGUGGAUAGGCCUCCCGCCCUGGGUUGACCUCAGUGGGUUUGCCCUUGCGAGGGACAGAAACAGGCUUUAAAAAAAAUUUUUUUUUUAAACGUUUAUUUUGGAGAGAGAGAGAGACCCACACAGUGCAAGCAGGAAAGGGGCAGAGAGGGAGACACAGAAUCUGAAGCGGGCUCCAGGCUCUGAA